GAUGAACGCUAGCGGCAGGCUUAACACGUGCAAGUCGAGGGGUAUAGUAGCAAUACUAGAGACCGGCGCACGGGUGCGUAACGCGUAUGUAAUCUACCUUUUGCAGAGGGAUAGCCCAGAGAAAUUUGGAUUAAUACCUCAUAGUAUUAUGAUAUGGCAUCAUAUUAUAAUUAAAGUCACAACGGCAAAAGAUGAGCAUGCGUCCCAUUAGCUAGUUGGUAAGGUAACGGCUUACCAAGGCGACGAUGGGUAGGGGUCCUGAGAGGGAGAUCCCCCACACUGGUACUGAGACACGGACCAGACUCCUACGGGAGGCAGCAGUGAGGAAUAUUGGACAAUGGGCGCAAGCCUGAUCCAGCCAUGCCGCGUGCAGGAUGACGGUCCUAUGGAUUGUAAACUGCUUUUGCACAGGAAGAAACAACGCUACGUGUAGCGUCUUGACGGUACUGUGAGAAUAAGGAUCGGCUAACUCCGUGCCAGCAGCCGCGGUAAUAC
rnacentral:rRNA from 1 species